ACUCAAAGGAAUUGACGGGGGCCCGCACAAGCAGCGGAGCAUGUGGUUUAAUUCGAAGCAACGCGAAGAACCUUACCAGGUCUUGACAUCCAGUAAAGCCUGUAGAGAUACAGAUUCCCUUCGGGGGUACUGAGACAGGUGGUGCAUGGUUGUCGUCAGCUCGUGUCGUGAGAUGUUGGGUUAAGUCCCGCAACGAGCGCAACCCUUGUUGAUAGUUACUAACGCGUAAAGGUGAGGACUCUAUCAAGACCGCCGGGGACAACUCGGAGGAAGGUGGGGACGACGUCAAAUCAUCAUGCCCCUUAUGACCUGGGCUACACACGUGCUACAAUGGCCGACACAGAGAGGAGCGAACCCGCAAGGGGGAGCAGAUCUCAAAAAAGCGGUCUCAGUUCAGAUUGUGGGCUGCAACCCGCCCACAUGAAGGAGGAGUUGCUAGUAAUCGCGAAUCAGCAUGUCGCGGUGAAUACGUUCCCGGGCCUUGUACACACCGCCCGU
rnacentral:rRNA from 1 species